rnacentral:rRNA from 1 species
ACCCGCCAAAUUUAAGCAUAUUACUAAGCGGAGGAAUUGAAAACAACUGUGACAUCUUAAGUAGUGGCGAACGAAACAGAUACAGCACAACGGUAUAAGCCUGCUCCCAGGUUUUUUUCCCGCAUUGUUCGGACGACUUCAACUUGCUUUGCUCGCUGGAACGCGAGGUCGACAACGGUGAAAGUCCGUGUAAGCAGGUUCUGUUGUUUGUGACUUUGUCAAAGAGUAGGGUUCUUUCAAAUUGGAAUCUGAAGCGGAGGUAACUUUCUCCGAUUGCUAAGCAUGUGAUAGGCCCGAUAGCGUAUUAAGUACCGUGAGGGAACGGUGAAAAGACAGCUCGAAAGCUAGUGAUAAGACCUGAGACCAUAACAGUAGAAGGCAAUGGAACUUCGCGGCAACUUGAUUCAUCGUGAACUCGAGCCUGCGUUUCUCAUUGUCGUUGGGCACUUUGAUCCCAUCGACAUAAAGGAAAAGAGUUUCAUUGCGCCCGUCUUGAAACACGGACUGAGGAGUCAUUCGCCGCUGCAAGUAGAAAGUAUUUAAAAUACUGCAGCGCCAUGAGCAGCGUCGAAUGGACCCGAAAGGUGGUGAACUAUUCUUGGGAAAGUUGACGUCAGAGGAAACUCUGACAGAGGACUUGUGUGUUACUGACGUGCAAUUCGUUCAUUUUACCUGUGAAUAGGGGCGAAAGACUAAUCGAACCACCUAGUAGCUGGUUCCCUCCGAAGUUUCUCCUAGGAUAGCGGGCAAGUUUAACUAUCAUGUAUAGUAGAGCAAUGUUUGGCGGAAACGGGUUUGAAUUAACUUGACCGACUCACAAACUACAAACGUACAUAAGGUCGAAUGAUUAACGUAUUCGAUCUAGAGAAGUACUUGCCUAGUGGACCGUUUUUGGUAAGCAGAUACGGUGCUUUGGAAUGCUCCAAGCGCAAUGAUAAGGCAUAUCGUCGUUGGCUUAUUGCUUCAAAAAGGUGUUAAUACAUACAGACAGUCCGACGGUGGCCAUGGAAGUUGGAANNUAAGGAGUGUGUAACAACUCACGGACCGAAUGUAUUAGCCCUUAAAAUUGACUGUGCUCAAGCCGUCGAGCCGAAACAUUGCAGGGCAGCAGGUUCUGUCUUUGUAGGGGGGUGUGCCUGUUGAUUGGAUGAUUUGAUGUGAGUCAAAUUUGAUCUUCAGGCAGUGCAGAUCUCAGUAGAAGUAGCAGUGUUUGAGUAGUAUCCUUAAAGACGGAUGUAGAAAAGGUUUUCAUAGACACAUCGCUUGGCUAUGAGUAAGUCGAUCUUAACACAGCGAACCUGUGGAAAAGGGGAGAGGUUAGCAUUCCUCUACUCACUCCAUCCGCUCAAUCUGGCGACACGUUUAUCUCUCACGUAACUUCAUGUUUGCGAGUUUGUGCGUUAUCUAUGCACUAUAACCGUUCGUUUUCUGCUGAAGAGGAUUGCCCUAAGAUGUAGAAGCAGGUCGGGAAAUAUGACUCUCGGGUCAACUCGUUGGACUUGUUGUACUUCAAGUGUGAGAUGGUUAGCGGUGAGUGAAUCGUACCAACAACCGCAUCAGGUCUCUAAGGUUCAUAACCUUUCGUUUAUGGAAUAAAAUAGGUGAGGGAAAUCGGCAAAUUAGAUCUGUAACCUUGGGAAAAGGAUUGGCUCUGCGGGCAUUCUGAAGUGGCCUUUUUUUGUGCAUUGCGCUGAACUCUGUUUGAUGUGAUGUCACUUUUUUGUGCCUAUUCAGAUUUCUGCCACAGUAGAACUGAGACUAUGAGGGGAAUCCGACAGUUUAACUAAAACCAAGCAUUCUGAGAGUGUCUACACUGCAACACAGAAUGUGAAUUCUGCCCGGUGCUUUGAAUGUCAAUGUGAGGAGACUCAUACAAGCGCGGGUUAACGGCAGGCGUAACUAUGACGCUUUCAACGUAGCAAAAUGCCUCGUCAUCUAAUUAGUGACUCGCAUGAACGGAUUAAUGAGAUUCCUACUGUCCCCAUCUAUUUUCCAGCGAACCUACAGGUCAGGGAACGGGCUGGCCUUUGACAGAACGGCAAGAAGACCCUGUUGAGGUUGACUCUAGCUAGUUUUUGUACAGUAGCUCAAAUAGAGUAGCGUAUGUGGGAGCGUCAGCAAAAGUGAAACACCACAAUAUUUGAAGCCGCUGAACUUACUUUUUUACCGAAUAGACAUGCUAUCAAAGAAGAGCAUAGGUCAAAAAAGGACAUUCACUGGUGGGGAGUUUGGCUGGGGCGGUACAUCUGUUAAAAGCCACCACAGGUGUCCAAAGGCUAUCUCAAUAAGAACAGAAAUCUUACGUGGACUAAAAGGAGAAAAGAUAGCUUAAUUCAUUCGUUUACAAGCUGAAUGGAGUGUGAAAGCAUGGCCUAUCGAUCCCUUCGAGGAGCAGAAGUUGCGCCGAGGGGUGUCUGAAAACUUACCACAGGGAUAACUGAUUUGUGGCAGCCAAGCGUUCAUAGCGACGUCGCUUUUUGAUCCUUCGAUGUCG